GGUGACGAAGCGACGCCGCGUGUGGGAUGAAGGCCUUCGGGUUGUAAACCACUGUCGGGAGUUAAGAAUUGUAGGAAUGCUAAUAGUAUUUCUACUUGACUAAGGCUCCGGAGGAAGCCACGGCUAACUCUGUGCCAGCAGCCGCGGUAAUACAGAGGCGGCAAGCGUUGUUCGGAAUUAUUGGGCGUAAAGAGCAUGUAGGCGGCUAUGUAAGUCGGUUGUGAAAGCCUUCCGCUUAACGGAAGAAUGGCGGUCGAAACUGCAUGGCUUGAGUGCGGGAGGGGAGAGUGGAACUUCUGGUGGAGCGGUGAAAUGCGUAGAUAUCAGAAGGAACGUCGGCGGCGAAAGCGACUCUCUAGACCGUAACUGACGCUGAGUGUGCGAAAGCUAGGGGAGCAAACGGGAUUAGAUACCCCGGUAGUCCUAGCCGUAAACGAUGGGCACUAAGUAGAGGGGUUU
rnacentral:rRNA from 1 species